AAAUUGAAGAGUUUGAUCAUGGCUCAGAUUGAACGCUGGCGGCAGGCCUAACACAUGCAAGUCGAACGGUAGCACAGAGAGCUUGCUCUCGGGUGACGAGUGGCGGACGGGUGAGUAAUGUCUGGGAAACUGCCUGAUGGAGGGGGAUAACUACUGGAAACGGUAGCUAAUACCGCAUAACGUCGCAAGACCAAAGAGGGGGACCUUCGGGCCUCUUGCCAUCAGAUGUGCCCAGAUGGGAUUAGCUAGUAGGUGGGGUAACGGCUCACCUAGGCGACGAUCCCUAGCUGGUCUGAGAGGAUGACCAGCCACACUGGAACUGAGACACGGUCCAGACUCCUACGGGAGGCAGCAGUGGGGAAUAUUGCACAAUGGGCGCAAGCCUGAUGCAGCCAUGCCGCGUGUAUGAAGAAGGCCUUCGGGUUGUAAAGUACUUUCAGCGGGGAGGAAGGUGUUGUGGUUAAUAACCACAGCAAUUGACGUUACCCGCAGAAGAAGCACCGGCUAACUCCGUGCCAGCAGCCGCGGUAAUACGGAGGGUGCAAGCGUUAAUCGGAAUUACUGGGCGUAAAGCGCACGCAGGCGGUCUGUCAAGUCGGAUGUGAAAUCCCCGGGCUCAACCUGGGAACUGCAUUCGAAACUGGCAGGCUAGAGUCUUGUAGAGGGGGGUAGAAUUCCAGGUGUAGCGGUGAAAUGCGUAGAGAUCUGGAGGAAUACCGGUGGCGAAGGCGGCCCCCUGGACAAAGACUGACGCUCAGGUGCGAAAGCGUGGGGAGCAAACAGGAUUAGAUACCCUGGUAGUCCACGCCGUAAACGAUGUCGACUUGGAGGUUGUGCCCUUGAGGCGUGGCUUCCGGAGCUAACGCGUUAAGUCGACCGCCUGGGGAGUACGGCCGCAAGGUUAAAACUCAAAUGAAUUGACGGGGGCCCGCACAAGCGGUGGAGCAUGUGGUUUAAUUCGAUGCAACGCGAAGAACCUUACCUACUCUUGACAUCCAGAGAACUUUCCAGAGAUGGAUUGGUGCCUUCGGGAACUCUGAGACAGGUGCUGCAUGGCUGUCGUCAGCUCGUGUUGUGAAAUGUUGGGUUAAGUCCCGCAACGAGCGCAACCCUUAUCCUUUGUUGCCAGCGGUCCGGCCGGGAACUCAAAGGAGACUGCCAGUGAUAAACUGGAGGAAGGUGGGGAUGACGUCAAGUCAUCAUGGCCCUUACGAGUAGGGCUACACACGUGCUACAAUGGCGCAUACAAAGAGAAGCGACCUCGCGAGAGCAAGCGGACCUCAUAAAGUGCGUCGUAGUCCGGAUUGGAGUCUGCAACUCGACUCCAUGAAGUCGGAAUCGCUAGUAAUCGUAGAUCAGAAUGCUACGGUGAAUACGUUCCCGGGCCUUGUACACACCGCCCGUCACACCAUGGGAGUGGGUUGCAAAAGAAGUAGGUAGCUUAACCUUCGGGAGGGCGCUUACCACUUUGUGAUUCAUGACUGGGGUGAAGUCGUAACAAGGUAACCGUAGGGGAACCUGCGGUUGGAUCACCUCCUUACCUUAAAGAA
rnacentral:rRNA from 3 species